GGUUUCAAAAUUUUCAUUAAUUAUUUGAAAAAGUUAACGAUUAUAUUUUAUUUACAAAAUAUUUUAGUUUGUCUUGUAUAUUUUUUCAUUAGAUCACGUAACAUUUUAAACUGUCAUAUGGUUAUGUUACGUAGUGCCUGUCAGAUGUUACAGUUGACCCCACCUAUGGGGCAUGUUGUCAUUUCACUUCCAUUCUUUCGGGGUAAAUUAGGAAAACAAUAUACACUGUAAUUAUGAAACAAAGCGACACAUUUGUACUACAUAAGUGUGAAUUCGGUGUGGAUAAAAAAGCAUACUCUGAACCCCACGUGGAUUUACAACUGAGAAAAUUUAAAACUGUGUGUGUUUUAACAUUUAUUCUAGAGCAAUGCCCUUUACUGUAAGUGCAUUACUGCAAACACAGUUUUUUGUGUUUUUACAGCUUGGGGGUCAAACUUAUUUUCCACGGUUCAUCUCUGUGUGUGCUGCAUUGGUAAUAAGCCUUCCUUAGUUACCUAACACUAGACACAAUGGCUCUCAGUUUUCUUCAUGCUUGAUUAGUAUCUAGCAUGACACUGCUACAGAUGUGAUACUGGUGUUGCAAUGUUCUUGCAUUUGCAUUCUAGUGUUCUUCUGGACUCUCAAGAUGUCGUCUUAGCACUUGGCUUGUCUCCAUACUUCAGGUACCUGCUCUUACAUAAAUAACUGUGCUUAAAUGGAAGCCACGUCAAACAUUUGCUGAAAACAUAAGUGUUAAUGCAAAUGCAUAUAAACAAUGCAUGCUGUUUAGAUACAAAACCAUAGAAGGUCACAAAACAGGUUGUACUGAGAGUGCAUGCAAGCACAAAGAAAUAGUCAUUACCUUAUAUCCUGCUUGAAUAAACAAAAUGCUUCUGCACUGAGAUAAAACAUACUGUAGAUACAUAUUUUAAUUAGUAGCUUAUGUCUGAGUUGUACAAUUGAGAAAUUUAGUUAACAAGAAGCUGAAAUGCUAAUGUUCAGUUUAAUUGCUACGAUUGUCCACAUACCAUAAUAUUUCAGUAUACAUAAAUCUUUUUCACUAAAGAGUAACUUAAUGUCAUUAUCUUGCAGUAUAUUUAUUUCUUAAUUAUUAAUUUGGUCAGUUAUUUAGUGGUAUUGAACCAAAUUGUUAAGAUUGUGAGUACUGUUUAAGUAAAAGUAUGUUAAUAAACUCUUCUGGAUAUUCAGCUAGAAAAAUAUUGGAAGAAAGUUGAUUUUAUGUGUCAGGAAUUACUUCGAUUUGGGGGCCUUUUUUUUUUUUUUUUUUUUUGGAGUAAUGCACUUUUUUAUAUAUAUUUAUAAUAUAUGUGUAUAUGUAACAUAUUUAUAAUAUCAAAUUAUUUAAUACUUUAAAUAAAAAGACAGCUUUUAUUUUAAUUAUUAAUAGAUUGUCCGUUAAGCCUCUGAGUCUUCAGAGCAUCUUUCUGCAGAAGAGCUGAGAUGAAAGGCAGCACCAGUGACAGCAUUAAGGCCUGAGAAGCCCUGCUGUGUGCCGACACAAGCUGCGGCCGGAGUAAUGGAAAGGUCAGGAGUCACAAAGUCAACUUUGCUACACUGAUCACGGUUCACAUACAUCCAUUGGAUUACCUGUAUUAAAGAUAACAUUAAGACACCUUUCAGACACAAUUGUAGGCCAUAGAUGUAAUAACAAUAUGAUAUAUACAGGUGUGUUAUUUCAAUAUUUCACAUAUAUAACCUAUAUAAUCACGCAACUUAUAUAUGUAUGUUUUAUUUAAAGUUUUAUUGUAAUUACUAUAAAUGUAAUAUAAAUA
ensembl:lncRNA